CUGAGCUAAGAGCUUGAUUCGAGCAAGAAAUUUUAGUAGAGAUAGUUUAACUUUAGGUAAAAUUUAUACUUAAACUUGUCUUAUAGUCUUUAACUUCCAAAUCCCGAGGCAUAAACAAGGAUUAGAUACCCUUCUAUACUUGGGCCCUUUGAGCAGGGUAGUAACUAGCUAUGUACUUCAAACCUAAAGGAUUUGGCGGUGCUUUAACAAAUUAGAGGAACCUGUAUUUUAAUUGAAAUUACGCAUUGUAUCUUACCAGAGUGAAGCUUGUAUACCGUCGUCUAGGUAGCCUCAAAAGGGCCUGCCGCAGUGAGCUAUAUUUAUGGCAGAUCAAGGUGCAGCUUGUCCUGGUUAGUAUGGGUUACAAUCUUCAAAAGUUGGAAGAGGACUUGAAAAGCUCUCUGAAAAUGGAUUUAACAGUAAUUUGAGUUUAAAAUGCUCGAAUAAAGCUGCAAUAUGGCAUGUACAUAUCGCCCGUCACUCUCACUCUCUGAGAU
rnacentral:rRNA from 1 species